rnacentral:rRNA from 1 species
UACGUAGGGUGCGAGCGUUGUCCGGAAUUAUUGGGCGUAAAGGGCUCGUAGGCGGUUUGUCGCGUCGGGAGUGAAAACUUACAGCUUAACUGUGAGCGUGCUUCCGAUACGGGCAGACUUGAGGUAUUCAGGGGAGAACGGAAUUCCUGGUGUAGCGGUGAAAUGCGCAGAUAUCAGGAGGAACACCGGUGGCGAAGGCGGUUCUCUGGGAAUAUCCUGACGCUGAGGAGCGAAAGUGUGGGGAGCGAACAGG